rnacentral:rRNA from 1 species
AAUGGCAUAAGCCAGCUUGACUGCGAGCGUGACGGCGCGAGCAGGUGCGAAAGCAGGUCAUAGUGAUCCGGUGGUUCUGAAUGGAAGGGCCAUCGCUCAACGGAUAAAAGGUACUCCGGGGAUAACAGGCUGAUACCGCCCAAGAGUUCAUAUCGACGGCGGUGUUUGGCACCUCGAUGUCGGCUCAUCACAUCCUGGGGCUGAAGUAGGUCCCAAGGGUAUGGCUGUUCGCCAUUUAAAGUGGUACGCGAGCUGGGUUUAGAACGUCGUGAGACAGUUCGGUCCCUAUCUGCCGUGGGCGCUGGAGAACUGAGGGGGGCUGCUCCUAGUACGAGAGGACCGGAGUGGACGCAUCACUGGUGUUCGGGUUGUCAUGCCAAUGGCACUGCCCGGUAGCUAAAUGCGGAAGAGAUAAGUGCUGAAAGCAUCUAAGCACGAAACUUGCCCCGAGAUGAGUUCUCCCUGACUCCUUGAGAGUCCUGAAGGAACGUUGAAGACGACGACGUUGAUAGGCCGGGUGUGUAAGCGCAGCGAUGCGUUGAGCUAACCGGUACUAAUGAACCGUGAGGCUUAACCUUACAACGCCGAAGCUGUU